rnacentral:rRNA from 1 species
CCUACGGGAGGCAGCAGUGGGGAAUCUUGCGCAAUGGGCGGAAGCCUGACGCAGCGACGCCGCGUGCGGGACGAAGGCCUUCGGGUCGUAAACCGCUUUCAGCAGGGACGAGGCCCUCACGGUGACGGUACCUGCAGAAGAAGCCCCGGCUAACUACGCGCCAGAAGCCGCGGCAAUACGUAGGGGGCGAGCGUUAUUCGGGUUCAUUGGGGGGAAUGCGCGCGUUGGCGGCCGUUUAGGUCGGGGGUAAAAUACAGGGGCUCAACCCCGGGCCGACCCCGAUAACGGCAGGCUUGAGUGUGGUAGGGGAAGGCGGAAUUCCCGGUGUAGCGGUGUAAUGCGCAGAUAUUGGGAAGAACACCGGCGGCGAAGGCGGCCUUCUGGGCCACGACUGACGCUGAGGCGCGAAAGCUAGGGGAGCGAACAGGAUUAGAUACCCUUGUAGUC